GUAUUUAAUUGCGUUUAUAGCAUGUGUACAUUCUUAAACUUUUAGAGUGUGUAAAUAAACAAGACGCCGGCAGAAUGACUAGUCGAGACCUUGCGAUCCUUUCGCCUUCCCCCCAUUGUCCCGCAUGGUUCACAGGUGUGUGGAUGAGUGGAAAGAGCGUGCACAUGCCCCUAGAGGCCAGCGACAACUCAGUGUUACUCGUUAAUGAUCCUUCCGCAGGUUCACCUACGGAAA
rnacentral:misc_RNA from 1 species